rnacentral:rRNA from 1 species
CCUACGGGGGGCAGCAGUGAGGAAUAUUGGUCAAUGGACGAGAGUCUGAACCAGCCAAGUAGCGUGAAGGAUGACUGCCCUAUGGGUUGUAAACUUCUUUUAUAUGGGAAUAAAAUGUUCCACGUGUGGGAUUUUGUAUGUACCAUAUGAAUAAGGAUCGGCUAACUCCGUGCCAGCAGCCGCGGUAAUACGGAGGAUCCGAGCGUUAUCCGGAUUUAUUGGGUUUAAAGGCAGCGUAGGUGGUUUGUUAAGUCAGUUGUGAAAGUUUGCGGCUCAACCGUAAAAUUGCAGUUGAAACUGGCAGUCUUGAGUACAGUAGAGGUGGGCGGAAUGCGUGGUGUAGCGGUGAAAUGCUUAGAUAUCACGAAGAACUCCGAUUGCGAAGGCAGUUCACUGGACUGCAACUGACACUGAGGCUCGAAAGUGUGGGUAUCAAACAGGAUUAGAUACCCUUGUAGUC